ACAGGGAUUGCCCUAGUAACGGCGAGUGAAGCGGCAACAGCUCAAAUUUGAAAUCUGGCGUCUUCGGCGUCCGAGUUGUAAUUUGCAGAGGGCGCUUUGGCAUUGGCAGCGGUCCAAGUUCCUUGGAACAGGACGUCACAGAGGGUGAGAAUCCCGUACGUGGUCGCUAGCCUUUACCGUGUAAAGCCCCUUCGACGAGUCGAGUUGUUUGGGAAUGCAGCUCUAAAUGGGAGGUAAAUUUCUUCUAAAGCUAAAUACUGGCCAGAGACCGAUAGCGCACAAGUAGAGUGAUCGAAAGAUGAAAAGCACUUUGGAAAGAGAGUUAAAAAGCACGUGAAAUUGUUGAAAGGGAAGCGCUUGCAGCCAGACUUGCCUGUAGUUGCUCAUCCGGGUUUCUACCCGGUGCACUCUUCUAUAGGCAGGCCAGCAUCAGUUUGGGCGGUUGGAUAAAGGUCUCUGUCAUGUACCUCCUUUCGGGGAGAACUUAUAGGGGAGACGACAUGCAACCAGCCCGGACUGAGGUCCGCGCAUCUGCUAGGAUGCUGGCGUAAUGGCUGUAAGCGGCCCGUCUUGAAACACGGACCAAGGAGUCUAACAUCUAUGCGAGUGUUUGGGUGUCAAGCCCGAACGCGUAAUGAAAGUGAACGGAGGUGGGAACCUUUCGGGGUGCACCAUCGACCGAUCCUGAUGUCUUCGGAUGGAUUUGAGUAAGAGCAUAGCUGUUGGGACCCGAAAGAUGGUGAACUAUGCUUGAAUAGGGUGAAGCCAGAGGAAACUCUGGUGGAGGCUCGCAGCGGUUCUGACGUGCAAAUCGAUCGUCAAAUUUGGGCAUAGGGGCGAAAGACU
rnacentral:rRNA from 1 species